ACGGGACGCAUAUCCACAUUCAGGCGGCGAAAAUAAUGAGCACCAGUACGUGAAUGGAAAAUAUUUUCAUUCACUGAAUGUUCAGGUUAAUGUUUAUCAACGUGCUUGCAAAGUGGCAUCCAGGGUGUCUGCAGCCUUUGGAAGCAACUGUAGACUAUUGGACCGGGUCAUGCUAGGUGACAGUAGCUGCAUGAUAGGAGAGUGAUUGUUGACAUCAUUUCAGCAUCCUGCACCCUUGCAGGAAAGGAAAUACAACACAGCACAUAGCUGUACAUGCAACUGGGUCUGAAGAUGGAACCAGAUCAGGCAUGUGAAGUGACUGUGUUCUCAAUCGGGGAGAGCCAGACAAUGAUGGCGACAAUAAUGAUGUUGGACAUAACAAUGAUUUAAAUAAUGAAAAUCACUACAAUAAAAUCAAUGACACUGUUUCAGAACAUGAUGCUCCCACAGAAAGAGCCCAUGUUGCAGCAGGCCAAGCUGUCAGGAACCAAUCUGUUUAUAGACUUUUCUUGUAAAUAUGUUAAACCAUAAUUUUAUACAUUUCAGAACUAUUUUGAUAACGAAGUUAGAACAUCAACAAUAGACAUAGUCAACAGUUUAGAUGUAGGCCCAACAUGUGUUACAACAGGUCAAGCUGCU